GACGAACGCUGGCGGCGUGCUUAACACAUGCAAGUCGAACGGAAAGGCCCUGCUUUUGUGGGGUUCUCGAGUGGCGAACGGGUGAGUAACACGUGAGUAACCUGCCCUUGACUUUGGGAUAACUUCAGGAAACUGGGGCUAAUAUCGGAUAGGAGCUCCUGCUGCAUGGUGGGGGUUGGAAAGUUUCGGCGGUUGGGGAUGGACUCGCGGCUUAUCAGCUUGUUGGUGGGGUAGUGGCUUACCAAGGCUUUGACGGGUAGCCGGCCUGAGAGGGUGACCGGCCACAUUGGGACUGAGAUACGGACCAGACUCCUACGGGAGGCAGCAGUGGGGAAUAUUGCACAAUGGGCGGAAGCCUGAUGCAGCAGCGCCGCGUGCGGGAUGACGGCCUUCGGGUUGUAAACCGCUUUCGCCUGUGACGAAGCGUGAGUGACGGUAAUGGGUAAAGAAGCACCGGCUAACUACGUG
rnacentral:rRNA from 1 species